GAUGAACGCUGGCGGCGUGCUUAACACAUGCAAGUCGAACGGGAUCCAAGGGGUGCUUGCACUUUUUGGUGAGAGUGGCGAACGGGUGAGUAACACGUGAGUAACCUGUCCUUUUCUUUGGGAUAAGCAUUCGAAAGGGUGUUUAAUACCUUAUGUUCUUUCUGCCUCGCAUGGGGUGGGUGGGAAAGGCUUUGGCCGGAUUUGGGUGGGCUGGCGGGCUAUCAGCUUGUUGGUGGGGUGAUGGCUUACUAAGGCUUUGACGGGUAGCCGGCCUGAGAGGGUGGUAGGUCAGAUUCGGACUGAGAUACGGCCCAGACACCUGCGGGAGGCAGCGGUGGGCGAUAUUGCAGAAUGGGCGAAAGUCUGAUGAAGCGACGCCGCGUGACGGAUGAAGGCCGACGGGGUGUAUACUUCUUUUGCUCUGAACAAGGCAUGCCAGUGGGUGUGUUGAGUGUAGGGGUUGAUUAGCGCCGGCUAACUACGUG
rnacentral:rRNA from 1 species